rnacentral:rRNA from 1 species
AUUGAACGCUGGCGGCAGGCCUAACACAUGCAAGUCGAGCGAAGCGGGGACGGGUGAGUAACACGUGGAUAACCUCCUAUAAGACUGGGAUAACUUCGGGAAACCGGAGCUAAACCGAAUACUUAUCGAUGGAUCCACGCUGCAUUAGCUAGUUGGUAAGGUAACGGCGUACCAAGGCAACGAUGCAUAGCCGACUUGAGGGGGUGAUCGGCCACACUGGACCCGAGACACGGUCCAGACUCCUACGGGAGGCAGCAGUAGGGAAUCUUCCGCAAUGGGCGAAAGCCUGACGGAGCAACGCCGAGUGGGUGAUGAAGGUCUUAGGAUCGUAAAACUCUGUUAUUAGGGAAGCGGUACCUAAUCAGAAAGCCACGGCUAACUCCGUGCCAGCAGCCGCGGUAAUUC